AGAAGAUGUAAACGUAGGUGUUGAUGCCAUGGUCGAAGGCCGCCUUGGAGAAGACGAACAUGCCGGUGUAGAUGAGCUGGAUGACGACGGCGAUCGGAAAUCAUUCAGUUGGCUCUUUGUGGAACUGCAACUCUUCUUGUUGCCAACCAAAGCGCAAGGUCUUCAUAUUGGCGGUGACCAAUUUAUUAGCACACGAAAUGUUUUGAGGGAAAAAGAACUUGGCUCUUGGUGACUACAGAUGUGUAGAAACAAUGGCAGUCCACCUGCUACUCUUCUGUGAUUUUGCAUAGCAAUGAAAUCCCGUUAUUCAUGGAGAUCUAUCACCAUCCUAAUCUCUGAUUCUCUGUUUUAGUCCAAGUCACAAGGUUGAUUGAUGCUAGCCAUUUACUAUCUUACACCUACUUGAAAGCCCAAACCCAGCCUACUCAGAAUAUACAAGCGCACGAUGAUCACACUUGUUCAACCGCGAACGGUGCUGCUGCUGCUGCUUCCUUGUUCUCUUCUUUAUUUCCCUCCUCCUGUGAUUCCUCCAAUUUUAUAGCCUCCCUGCUUUUAGCCCAGAGGACGCUGUAAAGGCCGGCAACCAACAGGGCUCCACCCAGAAUGCUGCCAUCAUCAAAUCAAAUGCAAUAAUACAGACAUGGAAAACAAGAACUCUUGUAAACGAAGACCAAUAAGACUGAACAUACAUACAUAGAUACAUCUAUGCAAUUAAUAACAGUUACUAGUUAGUACCUGCCGAGGUGGACAAUCUCUCCGAGAAAGAAAGAGGAGCAGAAGAUAGUGAAGACGAAACAGAGCGGGUUCGACAUUGCUAGAAACACAGGGCCCUUCAUCUCCAUACACCAUGCUUGAAGAUAGUAGGACACCCCCGUCACCACAAACCCCUGUCAGGCGACAACAGAU